rnacentral:tRNA from 1 species
GGGGUUGUAGCUCAGUGGUAGAGCACUUGCCUUACACACAUGAGGCCCUAGGUUUGAUCCUCAGCACCA